rnacentral:rRNA from 1 species
GUAGUCCACGCUGUAAACGAUGAAUGCUAGGUGUAGGAGGUAUCGACCCCUUCUGUGCCGGAGUUAACACAAUAAGCAUUCCGCCUGGGGAGUACGGCCGCAAGGUUGAAACUCAAAGGAAUUGACGGGGGCCCGCACAAGCAGCGGAGCAUGUGGUUUAAUUCGAAGCAACGCGAAGAACCUUACCAGGUCUUGACAUCCAGUAAAAACCUGAGAGAUUAGGUGUCCCUUCGGGGGUACUGAGACAGGUGGUGCAUGGUUGUCGUCAGCUCGUGUCGUGAGAUGUUGGGUUAAGUCCCGCAACGAGCGCAACCCUUGUAUCUAGUUACUAACGCGUAAUGGCGAGGACUCUAGAGAGACUGCCGGGGACAACUCGGA